rnacentral:rRNA from 1 species
GCCCUUAGAGUUUGAUCCUGGCUCAGAACGAACGCUGGCGGCAGGCUUAACACAUGCAAGUCGAGCGCGUCCUUCGGGGCGAGCGGCGGACGGGUGAGUAACGCGCGGGAACGUGCCCUUCGGUGCGGAAUAUACCAGGGAAACUUGGGGCAAUACCGCAUACGGUCUACGGACGAAAGAUUUAUCGCCGAAGGAUCGGCCCGCGUUGGAUUAGGUAGUUGGUGGGGUAAUGGCCUACCAAGCCGACGAUCCAUAGCUGGUUUGAGAGGAUGAUCAGCCACACUGGGACUGAGACACGGCCCAGACUCCUACGGGAGGCAGCAGUGGGGAAUCUUGGACAAUGGGGGCAACCCUGAUCCAGCCAUGCCGCGUGAGCGAUGAAGGCCUUAGGGUUGUAAAGCUCUUUCGCUGGGGAAGAUAAUGACGGUACCCGGUAAAGAAGCCCCGGCUAACUCCGUGCCAGCAGCCGCGGUAAUACGGAGGGGGCUAGCGUUGUUCGGAAUUACUGGGCGUAAAGCGCGCGUA